UGUCAUCUAUUUUUCUCCAACACUGACUGAUUCUUUCUCUUCUUCUUCGCGGCGACCUCUAUUUUCCCCGAUUAGUCCCUCGAGUGCCAGGGAGAAGGAGAAGCUCCUAGAUAGGUCACUGCAAAACCCAAUUUCCAUCCCUCACUUCCUCUAGCAUAUUUACUGGUUAAAAUCUAGCUUGAAUCUUCCAUAAUCUAUGCCAUUAAGCUUCCUGCUUAUCCUCUCUCCACUUCAAUGUCAAAGUCCCAUGGGUAAUGGGCUAUGUUCUUUCUACUCCUGUUCAAUCUGGAUUCUAACCCUCCUCCCUUUUUCCUUCAUAGUCUUUGGCAAAGUUCCAGAGGAACUGGUAAUUUCCAAGAAAUCGGGGCAUCUCUUUGAAAGACAACUGAGAGAGAGAGAGAGAGUAAAGAAAAGAGAGGAAGAAGGCUACAGAAGUCCCCUUCAUAAUCGACCACCAUGGCGGACAAGCCGCAGGCGGUGCGUGUCCUCUAUUGCGACGUCUGCAACAUCCCAAUGGAGUAUUGCGAGUUCAGCCCUAACUUAGAGAAGUGCAAGCCUCGGCUCCGUACCCACUCUCCCGAUAUGUACCCUGAUCCUCAAAGGUUAAUUUUAGAAAACACAGAUGCAGACAAGAUGCCUAGCAGAUGAAGUCUGUGGCGAUUUUGGGUUCCACUGACGCAAGGGGAGAUGCUGGCAGGUCUCCUUCAGGUUAUUCAUGAUGCUUAUUUUUUGUUUUUUUUCUUAUUCAUUUCUUUAUCCAUCUUCAUGAAGUGAGCUCUCGAUAUUCUAAUCUACCUUUUCAUUGAAAUUUAAUCAAUGAUGGGGAUUUCUUAGAAAUGUUGAUCUAUAAAUCAACUUUAGAAACAAAAUCAAUAAUCUGAUUAGAGUAGUUUAAUUUUGUGACCUAGGUCAGAAAGAAUUCUUGUGGCGCAUGCUUACAAUCAGUAAUUAUAAAUAGGAUACUAUUUUUGAAUAAUUUCUUGUGUAUUUCUUUUAGCACCAUCAAUUCUUUUGAUUCCAACCAUUGCAUAUCUAGGGUUUAGUUAUCAACGUCACUUUAGAUGUCCCUCAUCGGACCUUGUUUCUCUCUUUCUUUGUUUAAAAUUCUGAAUUUCUUGAAUAGGCAGGUAGUGUUUCAGCAUCUAAGCAAGAAGAAGUAAAGCGCCUUAUUGGUGGUAAGAUAAAGAAGAAGGUGAGUAAUGUAAACUUCGGUUUGUUUUAUCUCAGCUUAGGAGAUGCAAAUCAUGUCUUUUUAGUUUUAUCAAAUAAAUAAUUGUCAUCUUUGACUAAGGAUAUUAUUAUGCACAAAGUUUAUUACUCUUAGAAAUAGUGUGUGUAUAUCUCCAAACAUAUUUGUAUUUGAAAAUUUUCAAUUGACCAUACAAAGAGCUUCAAAGACUGAAUUAUUUAUUGUGACUUUGUGAAUUAUUCAUCUAUGAUCAAAGUCAAAAAAUUUGAGAUUGAUUGCAAAAUGGAUACACAAUUCUUGUCUGGUGAUUAACUAACCUGUAUAAUAAAAAAUAUAUAUCCAUGCAUUUGAGCUUGUUGGUAAGCCUUCUGACUAGUUUAUCAGUGCCAGCUUAUCUCAAUCGUAAUCUCAAUAUUGGAUGAUUUUUGUUAUUUGUUUAACCUUAUAUGUUGUCAAGUGUAUAUCAAUAUAAAUUACCUAAAGGCCCCAUUCAUUGUUAUUCAUCUUGGCCCAUCUAGCUAAAAUGAACUACCUUGUCAAUUUACAUUUCUUCAUAUUGGUAACACACUAAGUCCAUUGUAUUAUCCAUUUAGUUAUUGGUUUCUUUUCAUGGUAUGGACUUCAUGCAAUCCUCCAUAGUUUUAUUCAAAAUGGUUUAUCAAGUAGAGUUAGGACAAACUUCAAUUUGUGCAACAUUUUUAUGUUAUAAUGAUUAAAAUUGAUAGGUUCACUGUGAUCAUGAUUUUGUAGAAGAUCUAAAUUAUGGUAUGAUAGAGUUUGAAGCUUGAGCAAUGUGAAACCUUAGAUCAGGAGGAUAAUCAAUGUAAUUAGGUUUCCUAAAUCUAAAUCUUCACAUGUUUUAGUUAAUGUUGCAUUCUUAAUAUAAUGAUUUUUGCAAUAAUAUGCUAAUUAGGAUUAGCUUAUUUUGAUCUAGGAGAAGCAAGAACUUAUUAUUGAAAAGAUUGUUUGCAAAGUACAAGUGUUAUUGUUGUGAAAGGCCUUGAACUGUUUGGUGAGUGAUAGCCAAACAAUAUUAUUUACAACUAAAUUUGAGAAAUGAGAAAUCUGAACAUAUUACAGAUAUUACUAUUUACUCCAUUAUUUAUAAUUUAUGAGAUCUUUUUAGGUGUAAAACUGAGCGAUGCAUCAAAGAAGCGGGGUAAAAAGUUUGCUAUAGGAGCUUAUGUUGUCAAGGGACCAACCGAGAAAGAAUAGAUUGAUGUGUAAUGAAGUAUUGCCUAAAAUAUUGUGGAAUUCAUUACCGAGACUUGGUCAGAUGUAUCACUAUAUGAUUCCUUAUAGAGGUCUAUAUUUUUGUACGGCCAUUAAGAUUUGCUAGAAGUUCAAUUACUAAUUUAGCACCAGAUUAUUUAGGAUAAAAGUUGUGAGAUUUGAAGUUGAAAGUCAAAGAGCUGCUAAUUUAGCACGAGGUUUGCUAGACUGUGGUUUCUAGCAUAUUUUGACCAUAUAGAAAGAUUUUGCUGCAUAAGAGGGUGAUUUAAUUUUUUAUUUUGAUUAGUUUUUUAUGAUUGGUUAAAUGAUGCACAUAUUGAGUUCUGUAUUUAUUGCUAAAAUGUAAAGUUAUGAUACUUGAUAUUUUUUAUUAAGUAUGGUGCAGCUUGUUAGUUGUUGGACCUCAGUUUAAGA